CAUGCUAAAAAAUUAUUCCAUGCACAAGGAAAUGUGUUUUAAAUUGAUUUCAACUGAUUGCACUUGAAUUUUCAUUGAAAUUUUGAAGUCUAUUGAAAACAUAUUUUGUUUGCCCUCUGAUUUUGAGAAGGGGGGACAAAAACUUAUAAAAAUAUUUGUAGCAGCCUUACAGUAUUUAAAAAAUCUGAGGAGACGUUAUUUUUAUAAAUUCGAUACUAGAUGAGAGGAAAGAGUUUAACACGAAUAUCAGCGAGGCGAAGCGAAUAUCAGUGAAACAGUGAUCAUCCAGAUUAUACGUGAGAGAACGGGAGAAUUGAGCAUUAUUCAUCGGGCCAAGCCUGUCUGCACAUGUUCACUGAGUCAGGAGGCACUUAUCACGAUGAUGUUACGCAAUUCUUUGUAUUCUUAACGAUUUGUUGUGUUGCCCAUUUCUUCACAACAGUGGAAAAGGGCGUCCAUAAGUUACGUAAUUUUAAUUGAUCAUUAAAAAAUAAAUAAAUAAUUAAAACAUUGUAUUAUAACAUCCCUCCUCUCAAAUUCAAUACGUAAUUUAUCUAUUAUCAUUAAUGUGCACAUAUUUACACAAAGCAGCUGCUUUUCAUGUGAGGUGGAAGAGUUGACCGAAUUAGAUCCAACGCGUUGACACGCGUUCAAACGACCUCUGCGAUGCCCGUGUGCUCUCUUGUACUUAGCUUGCUGGGAUUUCUAUCUAUGUAGAUGGAACAAGAAAGCACACGGCCAGCGAUUUGCCGCGUCUCACUUAACCAUCCUGUUGAAACAAGUUGCAUGAGAUUUUCUGCCUAUAAAAAACCAACGGAUCAUUCAGUCAGAACACAGUGUAAGCUUAUUGAGCGACACAAGAGGAGUGAAAAAGUAAUUUGAAUCUGUUUGAAAUAUUUGAUGAUAACCUCAAAUAAUCACAACAUGGAAAAAGAUGGGGACAACAUUCAACAGCAUAAAUUACACUUCAAAAAAUCAUCAGAAAGGAUGGAGAUUCAGUUGCGCAUUUACGAUCGAGCGCUUGCUCGUGAAAUAAUGCUGAAAACAAUAGCAUUACUGGAUACAACGGCCCAGGACGAAAGCGCCGACGCUGUAGAGCGCGAGCAAGCUAGGCAUUGCAUUGAGCUGAUUAAGCGGGAUAAUGCAUCACUGUAUGAAAGCGAGCUGUUGGAGAAAAAAUACCAAACAGAGGUGCAUCGUCAUGAAGUCUACCGAGACAAAAAAGCUUGAGUAAAAACCAUGUUGUAAAAAAAAUGCAAUUUUUCAAUCGCAUUUCCUAUUAUGAUCAAAAGGUCAAUACUUCUCGAUCCAUCAAAAUCGGUUGAUCCAAUUGUUGGAUUGAUUUUCGAAAUACCCGGGCAGACGGUACACUCAAACCCCGUUGGUUUGACACCAACUGUUGUCAAACGAACGGGGUCACUUUUUAGUUUGACACUCCUUUUACACGGAGUUCACACACACUAGCAAACGUUUGUUUUGAUAGUGUGCGUGAGCGCCGUGUAAAAAGUGACAGUUCGUCACUUUUUAGUUUUACUUUGACCAACCAACGGGGUACAAACUAAACAAGUGUCAAACGAAAAAGUGACCAGCCACUCAACAUUAACAAAAUUCAUGCCAUUUCAAUAACAAAUACUGUUUAAUAAAUAAUAGAAAGUGUUGUGGAAUCUUCUUUAAAAAUCCAUUUUUGCAUAAGAGUUUAAUAACAGUUUAUGUUAUCAUAACAAAAUUUGUUAUUGGUCUGAUAUUGGUUGAAAGCAAAAACAACUUUGGAAUAACAUUUUUUGUUAUGGAAACAUACCUCCAAUUCGAUGAUAGGAUUAGUUGUUGAAAUAGCAAAAAAUAAUAACAAAGAUUUGUUCAAAGAAUAACUAAAAAUGUAAUUAGUCUGUUAUUACAAUAACAAUCCAAUAACAAAAAAAAAUCAUAACGACGAAUAACAAAUCUUGUUAUAAAUAACAGAAAUUGUUGUUGGCCUAGUAUUUUCCAAUAUCAAAAAUUUUUAUUCCCAAGUUAUUUCCGUCUGCUCGGGAUAAGGCAUUUUGUGGUAAUCGAGAAACUGAGCUUAUCGAAAUAUAAUUGAUUUGAAGUAGGAAAAAAAUAAUCUUUUUCUGGAAAACUAUUUUUUGUUGGUUACGAUCGUUUGAAGAAUAAAACAUCAAAUUUGAAGCAUUAUGGAAAAAUACAACAUCGGUUUGAAAGCUUUUAAUGCCUCACCAUUUGACCUCCACAGAUCCCCAAAACACGAUUUAAACCUAGAGUUUUUAUCACAGAGCGAAAAUUUUCAUA